GACGAACGCUGGCGGCGUGCUUAACACAUGCAAGUCGAACGAUGAAGCCGCUUCGGUGGUGGAUUAGUGGCGAACGGGUGAGUAACACGUGGGUAAUCUGCCCUGUACUCUGGGAUAAGCCCGAGAAAUUGGGUCUAAUACCGGAUAUGACUGCAUCGCGCAUGUGGUGUGGUGGAAAGUUCCGGCGGUAUGGGAUGAACCCGCGGCCUAUCAGCUUGUUGGUGGGGUAGUGGCCUACCAAGGCGACGACGGGUAGCCGGCCUGAGAGGGCGACCGGUCACACUGGGACUGAGACACGGCCCAGACUCCUACGGGAGGCAGCAGUGGGGAAUAUUGCACAAUGGGCGAAAGCCUGAUGCAGCGACGCCGCGUGAGGGAUGACGGCCUUCGGGUUGUAAACCUCUUUCGCACGGGACGAAGCGAGAGUGACGGUACCGUGAGAAGAAGCACCGGCUAACUACGUGCCAGCCGCCGCAGUAAGAC
rnacentral:rRNA from 1 species